rnacentral:rRNA from 1 species
UACGUAGGGUGCGAGCGUUGUCCGGAAUUAUUGGGCGUAAAGAGCUUGUAGGCGGUUUGUCGCGUCUGCUGUGAAAAUCCGGGGCUCAACCCCGGACUUGCAGUGGGUACGGGCAGACUAGAGUGUGGUAGGGGGAGUCGUGAAUUCCUGGUGUAGCGGUGGAAUGCGCAGAUAUCAGGAGGAACACCGAUGGCGAAGGCAGGUCGUCUGGGCCACUACUGACGCUGAGAAGCGAAAGCAUGGGGAGCGAACAGG